UCUUCCCUCUCUCUUCGUGCCUCCUCCCUGCACGUCGAGCGCACGGACGAGAAGCUUGCUUCUCUGAUGUUAGCGGCGGACGGGUGAGUAACACGUGGAUAACCUACCUAUAAGACUGGGAUAACUUCGGGAAACCGGAGCUAAUACCGGAUAAUAUUUUGAACCGCAUGAUUCAAAAGUGAAAGACGGUCUUGCUGUCACUUAUAGAUGGAUCCGCGCUGCAUUAGCUGGUUGGUAAGGUAACGGCUUACAAAGGCAACGAUGCAUAGCCGACCUGAGAGGGUAGUCGUCCACACUGGAACUGAAACACGGUCCAGACUCCUACGGGAGGCAGCAGUAGGGAAACUUCCGCAAUGGGCGAAAGCCUGACGGGGCAACGCCGCGUGAGUGAUGAAGGUCUUCGGAUCGUAAAACUCUGUGAUUAGGGAAGAACAUAUGUGUAAGUAACUGUGCACAUCUUGACGGUACCUAAUCAGAAAGCCACGGCUAACUACGUG
rnacentral:rRNA from 1 species